GAUGAACGCUGGCGGCGUGCCUAAUACAUGCAAGUCGAGCGAACGGACCAUUAGCUUGCUUUUCUGAUGUUAGCGGCGCACGGGUGAGUAACACGUGGACAACCUACCUCUAAGACUGGGAUAACUUCGGGAAACCGGAGCUAAUACCGGUUAAUAUUUUGAUCCGCAUGGUUCAACAGUGAAAGACGGUCUUGCUGUCACUUAUAGAUGGAGCUGCGCUGCAUUAGCUAGUUGGUAAGGUAACGGCUUACCAAGGCAACGAUCCAUAGACGACCUGAGAGGGUGGUAGGGCACCCUACAACGGAGCCGCGAUCCAGACUCCUACGGGAGGCAGCAGUAGAGAGACUUCCGCAAGGGACGAAAGGAUGACGGAGACCAGCCGAGUGAGUGAUAAAAGUCUUCGGAUCGGAAAACUAUGUUACUAGUGAAGAACAUAUGUGUAAGUAACUGUGCACAUCUUGACGGUACCUAAUCAAAAAGGAACGGCUAACUACGUG
rnacentral:rRNA from 1 species